CAUAUCAAUAAGCGGAGGAAAAGAAACCAACAGGGAUUGCCCUAGUAACGGCGAGUGAAGCGGCAACAGCUCAAAUUUGAAAUCUGGCUUCGGCCCGAGUUGUAAUUUGCAGAGGAAGCUUUAGGCGCGGCACCUUCUGAGUCCCCUGGAACGGGGCGCCAUAGAGGGUGAGAGCCCCGUAUAGUUGGAUGCCUAGCCUGUGUAAAGCUCCUUCGACGAGUCGAGUAGUUUGGGAAUGCUGCUCAAAAUGGGAGGUAAAUUUCUUCUAAAGCUAAAUACCGGCCAGAGACCGAUAGCGCACAAGUAGAGUGAUCGAAAGAUGAAAAGCACUUUGAAAAGAGGGUUAAAUAGCACGUGAAAUUGUUGAAAGGGAAGCGCUUGUGACCAGACUUGCGCCGGGCGGAUCAUCCGGUGUUCUCACCGGUGCACUCCGCCCGGCUCAGGCCAGCAUCGGUUCUCGCGGGGGGAUAAAGGUCCUGGGAACGUAGCUCCUCCGGGAGUGUUAUAGCCCGGGGCGUAAUGCCCUCGCGGGGACCGAGGUUCGCGCAUCUGCAAGGAUGCUGGCGUAAUGGUCAUCAGCGAC
rnacentral:rRNA from 1 species